GCCCUGUAUUCUUAAAUCUCUAGGACUGACUGAGCAUUAGGUACCCACUUUGGAGAUGAUAGUACUACAGUCUACUGGCCUAACAUGACUACAACUUCUACAGCUUGCCCUCUUCAAAAUCAAACCUAUUGAAAAAAUAUACCACACAACG